UACAGAGACUGCAAGCGUUAUUCGGAUUCACUGGGCGUAAAGGGUGCGCAGGCGGCCGAGUGUGUGAGUUGUGAAAGCCCGGGGCUUAACCCCGGAAUUGCACCUCAAACUACACGGCUAGAGCAUUGGAGAGGGUAGCAGAAUUCACGGUGUAGCAGUGAAAUGCGUAGAUAUCGUGAGGAAUACCAGAGGCGAAGGCGGCUACCUGGACAAUUGCUGACGCUCAGGCACGAAAGCGUGGGGAGCAAAAGGG
rnacentral:rRNA from 1 species